CAGUCUUAGAUAGGGAAGGAGAUACUGACCACUUGGCCAUGUAAUCUGACUAAAGAAUUCUCUUUGGGUCAUGUGGUUCUUUAAAUAAAAAUGGCCCUCCUAGGACCAUAGGGAAUGGUAAUACUAGGAGGUGUAGCCUGGUUGGAGGAACUGUCAUUGGGGGUGGGCUUUGAGGUCUUAGAUGCUUAAGCCAGACUCAGCGUGACAUUCCCUCCCUUCCUGAUGCCUCUGGAUCCAGUUGUAGAGCUCUCGGCUACCUCUCCAGCACCAGCCUCCUCCUCAAGAUGGAGAAAUGAACGCCGUGGAAGGACUGACAUGUCAAUUAUAGACGCGUGGACCAGUAGCAUUUUCAGAUUUGCAUCCUCUACCCAACAUGAGGAUGUCCUUCCAAAAGCAUCUGUCUUAAUGACCCAUAUGAGGGCUCCUUUGAGAUUUUACCACUGUAAGACAGCAUUCACUCCUGAGAUCCCUUGGACGGAGAACUAUGGAAGGCUUGACUUGACCUCUGUCCUGACACUAGGACAAGUCACAGCUGGCUGAAUGGACCAGAGAAACAGUCACACCUCCACAUCCAGGUCACAUGUUAUCUGACAAUGUCCAUAUGCCAUUCAACGGUCUUCUAUACUCAGCCUAACGUUUUCAAGCUGGAUUAGGGUUAUGUAUAUAUCAAGGUUGGCCAUUGGCUGAGAUUCAGGGAACCAGGGACAGAUAAUGGCUAAGAAAGAUGACUCUUUGUGGUUACGAAUGGACACUGCCUUCAGAAGAGGGGUUAGGAGGAAACAAGGUGGUAAAUCCGGCUUUGCCUGCUUCUGGACUUGGGCAUGGGGUGGCUUCCCAAGCUCCUGGAGAGAGCAGCGUUAAAUAGCAGUGUGCUUUGAAUUGAAAACUCCCAUCCUGGAGAGAAGGCCCCAGUAACCCAGUAAACUCUGUAGAUGGCUCAUUAGGACUCAGGAGGUAAACAACUCAGAAGUGUCCAGAAGUUCUGACACUUGCCAGACUCACAAGGCUCUCCAUCUUCAAGAUUCCAUAAGCAGAGUAGGCAGCUGAGGAGAGAGACUCUUGGACCUUUCGAUCCACACGUUCCAGAGUUCCAGGGUCACAGCUUUCAUUACCAGUGUUGCAGUGGGGUUCAGAGUGAUGCCCCUGUCUCUGUCAAUCACGCUCCUCUCUGUUACCCCUCACUGGUACUCCAGUAGUUCACCCCAGUAGCGCUCAUUGGUUUCCCAGAUUGGAGUUCACUGGUAUCCUUACUUUGUCCUGUCAUCAGUUCCCUCUCUGGGGUGAGUAGAUGCCUGUUCCUGUUUCUCAAGAAUUACCGUCACGUAAAUAGUCCAUCAGGAAUCUCCCCUGGAGCAACACGGCUCUCUUCUAACUCGGGCCUACCAGCCAGGCAUCUCUCAGGAACACACACCUGACUUCUGUUUUGUGAAAGUGGGUGUAUUCUACACACAAAAUCCCACUGAAGGACAGAGUAGCUCGCUUAAAUCUCUUUAAUGGGUUGGGUUGAUUGUGUUCAGACACCUGUGUCUCAUUUUCUCUUUAUGGUAUUCAUUGGGUUUUCACCAUAUGACUAAAAAACGAUUAAGAAGGAGAGACGAGUGUGCAAAGUUAGUGGAGUAUCCAGGGCCUCUUGGAACAGGGCCAUCUAUGGUAGAAAGGUAGCCCUUUGAGCUACCCACAGCUGGAUGCUGAUGAGAUGGACUAGUACCCAUGCAGGCACUGUCCUAGGCUAUCAGGACACUUGUCAUCAAAGGCACAGUGCAUCUUAUGGGUGCAGUUGCCCUCCGGAAGAAACAGACCUGUGAGGAUGGCUUGUUACCCAUGAUGCUCUCCUCCUGAGAUGGCCAUUUACAUACAUGACUCAUACAUGACCCAUCCCCGAUACCUCUGUUAGUUUGUGAGCGGGUACAAUCCACUUGAGGACCAUAAAAGGGAAAAACAGUGUGCAGAAAAGACAAACACUUUUUUUUUUAAAGGAAGGCAGCACAUCAAACUCACUUUCAAACAUUUGUGCUAAUAUCCAGAUCUCUUUUGCGAUGUGUCUUUCUAUAUUUACACAAUUUCUUUGUACAGGAUUGUUGUAUGCAGUCCAUAUUGGCCUCAGGAUUCAUAGGAAUCCCAGAGUGAUACCAAGCUCAUGAUUCUCCUGUCUUGGCACCCUGAGAGUUGAGAUUAUAGGAAUACAUCUUUUUCUGCAGGAUGGAUGAAGAGAGCUCCUCUCUGUCUGCUACUGAAUGCCAAUGCAGCGUGUUUCACGCAUACAUUCCAGGGAGCCUAGAUUUCACCUCUUCACUUUGGCAAGCCAUGGAGCAAAGUCACUCUUCCUGCAAACAAACGACAGAAUCGGCUCAACCACAGGGUCUGGCAGAUGGCAGUGACCCUGUGGGGCCAGUGAUCUUUCUGAGUUUUACCUCAGAUGCAUUUAGGAGUGCAGGUGGGCUCCAAAGGGACCAUUUCUGUGGAGUCAGGCAAGAUGGUGGGAGCCAGCAUGAGCCCGUGAAUGUGAGAUCGAGAAUGAAGUUGAAAGGCACCAUAGGGCAUGGUUACAAAUUUGGUUAUUUUAGGAUACAGCAAGGUAUUAUUUAAAGGCACAGCAAGCUAUGACCACUUGACACCUAAAGGGACAGGGUUUAAAAGAAAAUUCUGUAUUAACUGAAGUGUUAUCUGUCAUUAGGUCUUGAGUGCAGAGAUGUGUGUGUGUGUGUGUGUGUGUGUGUGUGUGUGCUUAUGUGAGCCUCUGUGUGUGUAUAUGUGCACGCUUGUAUGCCUCUCUCUAUGCAAGCUUGUAUGUGCGCCCCUCUCUAUGCAUGCCUGAGUGUGCCUCCCACCCCCUCCCUCUGUGUGUGUGUGUGUGUUCAUGCUUGUGUGUGCCUCUGUCUGUCUGUCUGUCUCUCUCUGUGUGUGCAUGCUUGUGUGUGCCUCUGUCUGUCUGUCUGUGUGUGUGUGUGUGUGUGUGUGUGUGUGUGUGUUUGCUGGAUGAUUUCAAGGGAUCAUCUUGUUUCUGCCUCCCCAGUGCUAGGACCGUAACUGUGAACAGCCACACUCAUCUGUUUUGUGGGUACAGGGGAGAUCAUGUUUUCACAGCAAGCAUCAUCUCAGUCUCUAAAUUUUAGUCUUUUAUUGAAAAACCCUCUCUCACCCGCCCUUUGGAAUUGCCAGAACUAGUAACCCCUAAGCUUCCUUUUAUGCCUCUGCCUACCUAGGAAACAGAACUCCCUGUAUUUUAUAGGACCUGCCUUAGUUGUUAUGCAAGUAGACUGUGUGUUUAAAGAAUCAAUACAGAUAUUUAGGAAGUGGGUUUUUUUUUUUACCCUUUUUGGUCUGGUCACUUUUCAAACACAGUGGUCAUUUUGGGCUACAAAACAUGUAUGUAUACACUGACACCCAUGUGCACACACAUACAAGAGCAGACGAACAUUCUUGUGUUGGGCACAUAAAUGCGUGUGCAUAGGCACUCGGGUGUGCAUGUCCAUUCUGGUCUUACUUGCAGUUUCCCAUGUUUAAAAAACAUCUUGCAGAAUACUAUGAAAAUAAGAUGUUUAGGGGUCAUGAGACCUAUCUGUCAAACCCAAUUGUGAAAACAUACAGAAUAUGUGCUAUCCAGCCAUAUGAGACUUUCUGGAGGUACUGAUAACUGAAUUGGAGGAAGAAACCCUAGAAAGGAUGGGAUGAACAUUACUUUUGCAUGCGAUUUUAACCGAAAGGGGACACACAAUUUUCUAUGCUUUUCUAUGACAUCCGGCACCACCAGUGCAGGAGUGACAUCACACACAGUGAGCUGGGCCCUCCCACAUCAAUCACCAAUCAAGAAAGUGCAGACUGACUUGUCCUCUGGCCAGUUGGGUGGGGGCAUUUUCUCAUUUGAUGUUCCCUCUUCCAAAAUGACUCUAGCUUGUGUCAAGUUGACAGAAAGGUAGCCAGCAGAAUAGCCUACAGUUGACUCCGUAAUGUGUGAAGUUUUAAAAAAGGAGAAAACAAAGAAAAAAAAGAGAGAGAAAUUCCAAAGUAAAAGUAAUAGUAAGAAGUAUUACUUUGAAUAUGACCUAGAUAUCAGAAUGAAAACAGAUCAGUAAUAGAGCUUGAUGGAUUGCAUUUAAUGAUUACUUUAAUGCAUUUGCAAGGAAGAAAUGACCCAAAAUGAAGAUAGGAAUCAACACAUCGGAGAACAGUAAGCAACACAGUAGGGUUUGGCACUCUCCCUCCUUCCCUCGCCCCCACCUUUGUGUGUGUGUGUGUGUGUGUGUGUGAGUGUAUGUGUAUAUGUGUGUGUGUAUGUGUGUGUGUGAGUAUGUAUGUGUGUGUGAGUGUGUGUGUGAGUGUGUAUGUGUAUGUGAGUGUAUGUGUAUGUGUGUGUGAGUGUGUAUGUGUGUGUAUGUGAGUGUGUGUAUGUGUAUGUGUGUAUGUGUGUGUGUGAGUGUGUAUGUGUGAGUGUAUGUGUGUGUGAGUGUGUGUGUAUGUGUGUGAGUGUGUAUGUGUGUGUAUGUGUAUGUGAGUGUAUGUGUGUGUGUGUGAGUGUAUGUGUAUGUGUGUGUGUGUAUGUGUGAGUGUAUAUGUGUGUGUAUGUGUGAAUGUGUGUGAGUGUGUAUGUGUAUGUGUGUGUGAGUGUGUGUGUAUGAGUGUGUGAGUGUGUAUGUGUGUGUAUGUGUAUGUGAGUGUGUGUAUGUGUGUGAGUGUAUGUGUAUGUGUGUGUGUGAGUGUGUAUGUGUGAGUGUAUAUGUGUGUGUAAUGUGUGUGAGUGUGGAUGUGUAUGUGUGUGUGAGUGUGUGUGUAUGUGUAUGUGAGUGUGUGUAUGUGUGUGUGAGUGUGGAUGUGUGUGAGUGAGUGUGUGUGUAUGUGAAUGUGUGUGUGUAUGUGUGUGUGUGAGUGUGUGUGUGUGUGUGUGUGUGUGUGCUUGCCCUUGUGCAUGCUGUGCCCUGAGAGGUCAGAAGAGAGCAUCAUUUCUCCUGGAGCUGAAGUUAUAGGUGAUUAUGAGCCACCAGAUGUAGGUGCUGGAAACUGAACUCCUGUCCUCUGGGAGGGCAGCAGGUGCUCUAAACCGCUAAGGCAUCUCUCCAGCCUCCCUCUGUCUUUAAAGAAUGGGGACCAAUAAAAGAGACAAAAUUCUUGUAAAAGUAAUUAGAGAGAUACAAAGAGUUAAGAAAAUAAGUUACCAGUAAUGAGUAAGAUGUAACCAUGUAGUCAGUUCGAUCUGGCUAUGCACACCGAUCAGAUAAAGCAGCAUUCUGAAUGAAUACAUGCUAAUGAAGAUCACACAAGUGAAAACAUAGAUACUUUAAAAACGAGCCGCUGUUAAAACAAUUAUAAGAGAAAUAGGGGAAAAUCACAGUAUAGAACUUAAGACAUCACAAAAGACACAUCUAAAUUUAGUUCCUAGAAAGAUGCCAGUCCCCAAGGAUUUCAAGAAUGAUUUCUUGGCAAACAUUACAGAGCACAAAAUUCUCCAAUCACUCGAGAUCGAGCAGGCGUGGCGGUACUCUCCUGUGAUCCUAACACAGUAGAGGCAGGAGGAUUAGAAGGCCAUGGUCGUCCUCCACUACAAAUAAAUAACAGUACCCGAGGUAAUAAAACUAGGUCUGCCCCAACACUCAAGUAUCACUGGAAAUGCAGACACUAAAGUCAUUUCCUCUAGGGGUUGAGCGUGGGCACCCUCCCCGCUGUGCUGCAGGUGAUGCGGCAUAUGGUGAAGGUGCACUUCAAAUCCAAGAGACAGGCUAGACAUUCAUUUGUGCCCUUGGGAAUCUGACUAGGAAUAAAAGAAAAAGCCCUCAGCAAAAUUAAGGCCCCGAUAGCCUUCCAAUGGGCGUAGCUCUGAAGCAGACCGAGGUUGUUGAGGUGAGGAGUUGAACGGUUGGCACACGUGGGAAGUGUAAAGUGUGUACUCCUGUUGGUUUCAGGCAGCAGCGCUUGGCAAUCACGAUGAGACCCUUAAGGAAAAAGUUGAAGGCAAUUGAGGAAAAUCAUUAAAUAAACUAAAAGGAAAGGCUAGAAAAAUAUUCUCAAACAGAGGAGGCAUGAGUUUGAAAGGACAAGUUUGCCAAGAUCGAUAACAAACCAGUAAAUGAGUGCUUUGUUCUCUUAAAAUUUAUCUAUUUCACGAGUGUUUUACAUGCAUGUCUGUGAACCGUGGGAGUGCCUGGUGCCUGAGGAGGCCAGUAAAGGGUGGCAGAUCCCCUGGAACUGAAAUUACAGAUGGUUGUGAGCUGUUCUCUCUCUCUCUCUCUCUCUCUCUCUCUCUCUCUCUCUCUCUCUCUCUCUCUGUGUGUGUGUGUGUGUGUGUGUGUAAUGGAACCAUGGAACCGGGGGUCGCUGCAAAAGCACCAAUGCCCUUAACGAUUGAGCUAUCUCUCCAGCCCUAAAUAGAUAUUCUUGAAGAAAACAGGCAGUCUACACCAUGCUGUAUGAUAUCUGUCUUAGGUCCUGUUGGUGAGAAGGACAUGAGUUGUCAGGAUACAGAAGCAGGAACAUCUGGCUGCUUAAGCAGCAUUGGCUGUCGGUGAAAUUGACUGGCGAACGAGAAACAAUUAAGUCGAGGCAGUAGAGGGUGGAUUCGAUACGGGCUCUGGGCAGAAGUGUAUUCAUGUUAAAAAUACAAAGCGAAACUACUCUAUUGCUUUCUAAUUGCUGCAAUCACUCUGCCGGUCAGUAUCCGAUGCCAGUGUUUAUAAAUUAACAGGGGUGGCAUUUGUGCCACUUGGGGAAGUUGCGUGACAAGCACGCCUAAGUGUUCUGUUUCUCUGUUUAUUAUCUAGGCCAACACCCACCAUUUAUCUUUCCAAUCAUGUUUGUAUCAUUUUACACUAAAAAGGCGUGUUAUAGGGAGCCAUGAGAUCUCUCUCUCUCUCUCUCUCUCUCUCUCUCUCUCUCUCUCUCUGUUACAUUGGUUAAAGUACAUAUACAAAGAUAUUCCCACCUUAUGAAUCUCUAAGUAUAUAGUUUUAUAAAAAUACUUACACUGAAAUAUUUAGUACCAAUAAAAUUAAUAAAUUAUGACUUGUAAAAAG